rnacentral:rRNA from 1 species
GAUGAACGCUGGCGGCGUGCCUAAUACAUGCAAGUCGAGCGAACAGAUGAGGAGCUUGCUCCUCUGACGUUAGCGGCGGACGGGUGAGUAACACGUGGAUAACCUACCUAUAAGACUGGGAUAACUUCGGGAAACCGGAGCUAAUACCGGAUAAUAUAUUGAACCGCAUGGUUCAAUAGUGAAAGACGGUUUUGCUGUCACUUAUAGAUGGAUCCGCGCCGCAUUAGCUAGUUGGUAAGGUAACGGCUUACCAAGGCAACGAUGCGUAGCCGACCUGAGAGGGGGAUCGGCCACACUGGAACUGAGACACGGUCCAGACUACUACGGGAGGCAGCAGUAGGGAAUCUUACGCAGUGGGCGAAAGCAUGACGGAGCAACGCCGCGUGAGUGAUGAAGGUCUUCGGAUCGUAAAACUCUGUUAUUAGGGAAGAACAAAUGUGUAAGUAACUAUGCACGUCUUGACGGUACCUAAUCAGAAAGCCACGGCUAACUACGUG